rnacentral:rRNA from 1 species
UGCAAGUCGAGCGGACCGACGGGAGCUUGCUCCCUUAGGUCAGCGGCGGACGGGUGAGUAACACGUGGGUAACCUGCCUGUAAGACUGGGAUAACUCCGGGAAACCGGGGCUAAUACCGGAUGCUUGAUUGAACCGCAUGGUUCAAUCAUAAAAGGUGGCUUUCAGCUACCACUUACAGAUGGACCCGCGGCGCAUUAGCUAGUUGGUGAGGUAACGGCUCACCAAGGCGACGAUGCGUAGCCGACCUGAGAGGGUGAUCGGCCACACUGGGACUGAGACACGGCCCAGACUCCUACGGGAGGCAGCAGUAGGGAAUCUUCCGCAAUGGACGAAAGUCUGACGGAGCAACGCCGCGUGAGUGAUGAAGGUUUUCGGAUCGUAAAACUCUGUUGUUAGGGAAGAACAAGUACCGUUCGAAUAGGGCGGUACCUUGACGGUACCUAACCAGAAAGCCACGGCUAACUACGUGCCAGCAGCCGCGGUAAUACGUAGGUGGCAAGCGUUGUCCGGAAUUAUUGGGCGUAAAGCGCGCGCAGGCGGUUUCUUAAGUCUGAUGUGAAAGCCCCCGGCUCAACCGGGGAGGGUCAUUGGAAACUGGGGAACUUGAGUGCAGAAGAGGAGAGUGGAAUUCCACGUGUAGCGGUGAAAUGCGUAGAGAUGUGGAGGAACACCAGUGGCGAAGGCGACUCUCUGGUCUGUAACUGACGCUGAGGCGCGAAAGCGUGGGGAGCGAACAGGAUUAGAUACCCUGGUAGUCCACGCCGUAAACGAUGAGUGCUAAGUGUUAGAGGGUUUCCGCCCUUUAGUGCUGCAGCAAACGCAUUAAGCACUCCGCCUGGGGAGUACGGUCGCAAGACUGAAACUCACAGGAAUUGACGGGGGCCCGCACAAGCGGUGGAGCAUGUGGUUUAAUUCGAAGCAACGCGAAGAACCUUACCAGGUCUUGACAUCCUCUGACAACCCUAGAGAUAGGGCUUCCCCUUC